UAAAGUAAAAAAAAAAAAAACUGGAUCCCAAAGAUUGCAGGUGGGGAAUUCCUGAAGUAUGUCCAUAUUCAAGUGGAGAUUAAAGAAGCCCAAGGGAAAGAACUCUGGCAAGAUAGGACUGAUGGUGACAACUGUGUAUUGAACAGAAAGCUCCUUUUAAAAGGGCUAUUUUGAAGAAUGUGAUUCUGACUCGGAGGAACGA